rnacentral:rRNA from 1 species
AUGUGCAUUGACUUCGCUUUGAAGCAAAUAGAAGUUAUAAAACAAUAUUUUGAGAAGUACAAAGAUGAUGGGUUUUCUUUAGGUUUGAGCACUGCUAAAUCUAUUGCAACUGAAAUGGGAAUAGAGCCAUUGUUUCUAGUGAAACAUCAUGCUACGAGGAAGAAACAGUUUGAUGAAAGUGAUUGUCUUGAAGAAAUUCUAGAAGCUAAGAAGGCUUUCCGAGUUAAAUAUUUUAAUGUUUUGGUUGAUACGGUGAUCACUUCUUUGAAUGAUAGAUUUAAAGAACUCAUGCAUGUUUGCGACAUCGAUGAUCUGCGGCUUGGCGCAUCACUUGGGCACCCUGAAGUAUUAAGUGACAAUGAAGAAUGUUGCACAAAAUUUGCAGAAACUUUCUAUCUUAAUGGCUCAUCUGAUGUUGAGGUAUACGAUCUUAUUUCUGAAUUGAACAUUAUGAGAUUCACUUUGCCAGAUGGCGUAAAGUCUGCUAUGGGGAUUUUCAAUGUGAGAGAAGUGGAUUGUUAUCCUAAUAUCUCCAUUGCCUAUCGCGUCUUAGUUAUUGUGCCUGUGACGGUCGCAUCGGCCGAAAGAAGCUUUUCGUAGAUGAAAUUAUUGAAGAAUUAUUUGAGGUCAAAAAUGACUCAAGAGAGAUUAAAUGGUUUGGCUACAUUAUGCAUCGAGAAAAAAUUAUUGGAGGAGAUUGACAGUAACCCCAUCAUAAGUGACUUUGCAUCGAGGAAUGUUAGAAGAAAUUUUUAA